rnacentral:rRNA from 1 species
GCGGGGGGAUUCAGCCAGGAUGGGCGGAGGUGCAUCGUCGGUUUGCAUCCCGACGGACCUCUUCCAAGGCCGGGCCGGCGGCACGGUCUCCGUCCAGCCUGACGCAUUUCCUCCCGCACUGCGGACGCCGCAACCGGUCGGGUAGCUGCGAGAGUCGGCCAGGAGGGUGAGCAACGGCAGGUGGCCGGGGGCGUCGCUUCGGCGUCUGUCUCCGGUUGUUAGCCAGUUCUCCCGUGGCGCGACACCCGACCGAGGUUCCUCGCCCGAGUUCUUCUCGGGCAACCCGCCGUCCCCUUCAUCUGGAAGCGGGCUUUCCGGCAGGCGUGUCUCGGCGUUGCCACGUCACUCCUCGUAGUGGCCGGCGCGACGGGAUCGCCGUUGGUCGUUUCUGUCCCGCGGGGGCGUUCUCGGGGUUGGCGGCGAGUAGGUCGGUCACCCACCCGACCCGUCUUGAAACACGGACCAAGGAGUCUAACAUGUGCGCGAGUCACGGGGUCUUGACUAGGCCCAGAGGCGCAAUGAAAGUGAAGGCCGUCUUCGCGCGGCUGUGUUGGGAUCCCGCGCAAGCGGGAGCACCAACGACCCGUCCUAUCCGAUUUAUCGGUUGGGCGGAGUCCGAGCGUACACGUUGGGACCCGAAAGAUGGUGAACUAUGCCUGGGCAGGACGAAGCCAGAGGAAACUCUGGUGGAGGUCCGUAGCGGUUCUGACGUGCAAAUCGAUCGUCAGACCCGGGUAUAGGGGCGAAAGAC